rnacentral:rRNA from 1 species
UUGAACGCUGGCGGCAGGCCUAACACAUGCAAGUCGAGCGGAUGAAGGGAGCUUGCUCCUGGAUUCAGCGGCGGACGGGUGAGUAAUGCCUAGGAAUCUGCCUGGUAGUGGGGGAUAACGUCCGGAAACGGGCGCUAAUACCGCAUACGUCCUGAGGGAGAAAGUGGGGAUCUUCGGACCUCACGCUAUCAGAUGAGCCUAGGUCGGAUUAGCUAGUUGGUGGGGUAAAGGCCUACCAAGGCGACGAUCCGUAACUGGUCUGAGAGGAUGAUCAGUCACACUGGAACUGAGACACGGUCCAGACUCCUACGGGAGGCAGCAGUGGGGAAUAUUGGACAAUGGGCGAAAGCCUGAUCCAGCCAUGCCGCGUGUGUGAAGAAGGUCUUCGGAUUGUAAAGCACUUUAAGUUGGGAGGAUGGGCAGUAAGUUAAUACCUUGCUGUUUUGACGUUACCAACAGAAUAAGCACCGGCUAACUUCGUG